AACUAAGUUUGUUAUUGGUAUGAGCUUUCAUGUGCAUGCACACUUCUUCAGAUAAGUAUACGUAUCUGAAGAAGUGUGCAUGCACAUGAAAGCUCAUACCAGUAACUAACUUAGUUGG
rnacentral:miRNA from 1 species